UACAGAGGGGGCAAGCGUUGUUCGGAAUUACUGGGCGUAAAGGGCGCGUAGGCGGCCUAUUAAGUCGGACGUGAAAUCCCUCGGCUCAACCGGGGAACUGCGUCCGAUACUGGUGGGCUUGAGUUCGGGAGAGGGAUGUGGAAUUCCAGGUGUAGCGGUGAAAUGCGUAGAUAUCUGGAGGAACACCGGUGGCGAAGGCGGCAUCCUGGACCGACACUGACGCUGAGGCGCGAAAGCCAGGGGAGCAAACGGG
rnacentral:rRNA from 1 species